rnacentral:misc_RNA from 1 species
GAUGAGGAACGUAGCGAAAUGCGAUAAGUAAUGUGAAUUGCAGAAUUCAGUGAAUCAUCGAAUCUUUGAACGCACAUUGCGCCCCCUGGUAUUCCGGGGGGCAUGCCUGUCCGAGCGUCAUUACAACCCUCAAGCUCAGCUUGGUAUUGGGCCCCGCCGACCCGGCGGGCCCUAAAGUCAGUGGCGGUGCCGUCCGGCUCCGAGCGUAGUAAUUCUUCUCGCUCUGGAGGUCCGGUCGUGUGCUCGCCAGCAACCCCCAAUUUUUUUCAGGUUGACCUCGGAUCAGGUAGGGAUACCCGCUGAACUUAAGCAUAUCAAUAAGCGGAGGA